rnacentral:lncRNA from 1 species
AAAUACUAACACAAGCUUUCCAAUAAACUUUUCCCACUCAGACAAUUUACCAAAUAGUUAGUGUGUAAAUCCCAAGUUCCCAACAAUUUCUAACCCUUACUUCAAUGAAUUCCCCAAAUUCAAGAUGUAACAAGUAUAAUCUUAACCAACUCAACCAUUUUUAUAACCCCUCAAGUAAUUGAUUGAAUUUUAAAUAAUUUAGAGUGCCUUACCUGGAGAUGAAACACAAGUGUAUUAAGUGUUGGUAAUGAACCCUUGGUUGCUUGUAAUUGAGAAUGAUGCCCUUGAUACACUAAAGAAGGAAGUUAGUUUAUACUUGUGAAUUAAAGAUGAAAUAGGAUUAGGGCUAUUGUAGUUGGAGUUGAAGAGUUGAUAUUUGAAUUGGAGAGUUGAAGUAUAAUAGGAG